GGACCGGGUUGAACGUACCUCUGGUGGACCUGUCGUGGCGCCAGCCGCGCAGCAGGGUAGCUAUGUACGGACGGGAUAACCGCUGAAAGCAUCUAAGCGGGAAGCCUCCCUCGAGAUAAGGUAUCUUAGAGUCGUGGAAGACCACCACGUUGAUAGGCCGGGUGUGGAAGCGCAGCAAUGCGUGGAGCUAACCGGUCCUAAUUACUCAUUUCGCGCUUGAU
rnacentral:rRNA from 1 species